rnacentral:rRNA from 1 species
CAGGCUUAACACAUGCAAGUCGAGGGGCAGCAUGGUCUUAGCUUGCUAAGGCCGAUGGCGACCGGCGCACGGGUGAGUAACACGUAUCCAACCUGCCGUCUACUCUUGGACAGCCUUCUGAAAGGAAGAUUAAUACAAGAUGGCAUCAUGAGUCCACAUGUUCACAUGAUUAAAGGUAUUCCGGUAGACGAUGGGGAUGCGUUCCAUUAGAUAGUAGGCGGGGUAACGGCCCACCUAGUCUUCGAUGGAUAGGGGUUCUGAGAGGAAGGUCCCCCACAUUGGAACUGAGACACGGUCCAAACUCCUACGGGAGGCAGCAGUGAGGAAUAUUGGUCAAUGGGCGAGAGCCUGAACCAGCCAAGUAGCGUGAAGGAUGACUGCCCUAUGGGUUGUAAACUUCUUUUAUAAAGGAAUAAAGUCGGGUAUGGAUACCCGUUUGCAUGUACUUUAUGAAUAAGGAUCGGCUAACUCCGUGCCAGCAGCCGCGGUAAUACGGAGGAUCCGAGCGUUAUCCGGAUUUAUUGGGUUUAAAGGGAGCGUAGAUGGAUGUUUAAGUCAGUUGUGAAAGUUUGCGGCUCAACCGUAAAAUUGCAGUUGAUACUGGAUAUCUUGAGUGCAGUUGAGGCAGGCGGAAUUCGUGGUGUAGCGGUGAAAUGCUUGGAUAUCACGAAGAACUCCGAUUGCGAAGGCAGCCUGCUAAGCUGCAACUGACAUUGAGGCUCGAAAGUGUGGGUAUCAAACAGGAUUAGAUACCCUGGUAGUCCACACGGUAAACGAUGAAUACUCGCUGUUUGCGAUAUACAGCAAGCGGCCAAGCGAAAGCGUUAAGUAUUCCACCUGGGGAGUACGCCGGCAACGGUGAAACUCAAAGGAAUUGACGGGGGCCCGCACAAGCGGAGGAACAUGUGGUUUAAUUCGAUGAUACGCGAGGAACCUUACCCGGGCUUAAAUUGCAGAUGAAUUACGGUGAAAGCCGUAAGCCGCAAGGCAUCUGUGAAGGUGCUGCAUGGUUGUCGUCAGCUCGUGCCGUGAGGUGUCGGCUUAAGUGCCAUAACGAGCGCAACCCUUGUUGUCAGUUACUAACAGGUUCCGCUGAGGACUCUGACAAGACUGCCAUCGUAAGAUGUGAGGAAGGUGGGGAUGACGUCAAAUCAGCACGGCCCUUACGUCCGGGGCUACACACGUGUUACAAUGGGGGGUACAGAGGGCCGCUACCACGCGAGUGGAUGCCAAUCCCAAAAACCUCUCUCAGUUCGGACUGGAGUCUGCAACCCGACUCCACGAAGCUGGAUUCGCUAGUAAUCGCGCAUCAGCCACGGCGCGGUGAAUACGUUCCCGGGCCUUGUACACACCGCCCGUCAAGCCAUGGGAGCCGGGGGUACCUGAAGUGCGUAACCGCGAGGAGCGCCCUAGGGUAAAACUGGUGACUGGGGCUAAGU